CAAAGGGAGAGCGGCCCUGUGCUUUCCACCGGCGCUGGAGUCUGUGGCAGGCCGACACUAGAUGGCAGCAGCACUCACCAGUGCUCUGCAGCCAUGAACGCCUCAAACAGGCAUGUGUCCAACAAGGAACAGAGGACAGCAAACGCGACUGACGGAGUGACAGGACGUGGCCCGACAUGCUCACCUGCCGUGGUUCUGCUCAGCACAUCGGAGCCACAGCCUGGUGGAGAACAAAAGGACCGAGCCCUGGGAAGGAACGAGAGGAAGAGCAGGAAUGUGGCAAUGUGGCAGGAACCGGGCUCUUUCUAUCUUUUCGUCACCAGAGCGAUGUUUGGAGUGGAAACACCCAGCGAAGAUAAGCUCUGAUUGGAUCAGCAGAGCCGCUCCGGACGAGCGCCUCGGCCUGGUUUCCAUUUCAAAUGUGAUCACAUCCUUCGUGGUGUUCCUCCUCCGCCAUCAGUUUUCUUAAAUGCCCACAGGCCUGUCAUUUUUUAGUUGGGCCAUAAAAAUAACACAACCACGUUCUCCCACAAUAAGAGUCGCCAUGCUGUGGAGUGAGGAUCUCUGUCACGAGCCAUCGAGCUCACACUCAUUUCUGGCUGCAUCUUAAACCCGGGCCUCCAUUGUCAUAUUUGUUUUCUAAACUAGUGUAAACCGAGGAGCAGCUUUGCUUCUCAUGACUUCUGGCCGUAUUUCAAGCUAUAGUUGACCCUCGCCCUCCGAGAGCGGGUCAAAACCCAUAGAUCAAGCUAAAUAUUUGAGGCUGUGCCGCAUGGGCUGUGAGAAGGAACCGUUCCUGGGUUUGUUCAUUAAUCACAGCUUCAGCUUUGACAGAGUUGACCUCCAGAGUCAAAUUUCCAGCCCACUGACUCAAAGCCAGUAAUCGUCACCUCGAGUCAAAUGGCUCUGAUGAGCACCGAGGCCCGUUUAUUACAUGACUUCUCCUUUUAUGAAAUUAGAAGCUUGUUUUGCUGUAACACAAGUCCUAAUGUUUGAAGUGAAUGUGUGGGAUAAAAGUAAAAAACUAACAUAAGGAAAAAAAACUAACAUAAUUUAAUAGUAUGUGAUUCUUUAAUUAGUUCUCAUGAGCAUUACAGUGACUUAUUAGCACCCUGAU
rnacentral:lncRNA from 1 species